rnacentral:rRNA from 1 species
CGAAUGCUGACAUAAGUAACGAUAAAGCGGGUGAAAAGCCCGCUCGCCGGAAGACCAAGGGUUCCUGUCCAACGUUAAUCGGGGCAGGGUGAGUCGACCCCUAAGGCGAGGCCGAAAGGCGUAGUCGAUGGGAAACAGGUUAAUAUUCCUGUACUUGGUGUUACUGCGAAGGGGGGACGGAGAAGGCUAUGUUGGCCGGGCGACGGUUGUCCCGGUUUAAGCGUGUAGGCUGGUUUUCCAGGCAAAUCCGGAAAAUCAAGGCUGAGGCGUGAUGACGAGGCACUACGGUGCUGAAGCAACAAAUGCCCUGCUUCCAGGAAAAGCCUCUAAGCAUCAGGUAACAUCAAAUCGUACCCCAAACCGACACAGGUGGUCAGGUAGAGAAUACCAAGGCGCUUGAGAGAACUCGGGUGAAGGAACUAGGCAAAAUGGUGCCGUAACUUCGGGAGAAGGCACGCUGAUAUGUAGGUGAAGUCCCUCGCGGAUGGAGCUGAAAUCAGUCGAAGAUACCAGCUGGCUGCAACUGUUUAUUAAAAACACAGCACUGUGCAAACACGAAAGUGGACGUAUACGGUGUGACGCCUGCCCGGUGCCGGAAGGUUAAUUGAUGGGGUCAGCGCAAGCGAAGCUCUUGAUCGAAGCCCCGGUAAACGGCGGCCGUAACUAUAACGGUCCUAAGGUAGCGAAAUUCCUUGUCGGGUAAGUUCCGACCUGCACGAAUGGCGUAAUGAUGGCCAGGCUGUCUCCACCCGAGACUCAGUGAAAUUGAACUCGCUGUGAAGAUGCAGUGUACCCGCGGCAAGACGGAAAGACCCCGUGAACCUUUACUAUAGCUUGACACUGAACAUUGAGCCUUGAUGUGUAGGAUAGGUGGGAGGCUUAGAAGUGUGGACGCCAGUCUGCAUGGAGCCGACCUUGAAAUACCACCCUUUAAUGUUUGAUGUUCUAACGUUGACCCGUGAUCCGGGUUGCGGACAGUGUCUGGUGGGUAGUUUGACUGGGGCGGUCUCCUCCUAAAGAGUAACGGAGGAGCACGAAGGUUGGCUAAUCCUGGUCGGACAUCAGGAGGUUAGUGCAAUGGCAUAAGCCAGCUUGACUGCGAGCGUGACGGCGCGAGCAGGUGCGAAAGCAGGUCAUAGUGAUCCGGUGGUUCUGAAUGGAAGGGCCAUCGCUCAACGGAUAAAAGGUACUCCGGGGAUAACAGGCUGAUACCGCCCAAGAGUUCAUAUCGACGGCGGUGUUUGGCACCUCGAUGUCGGCUCAUCACAUCCUGGGGCUGAAGUAGGUCCCAAGGGUAUGGCUGUUCGCCAUUUAAAGUGGUACGCGAGCUGGGUUUAGAACGUCGUGAGACAGUUCGGUCCCUAUCUGCCGUGGGCGCUGGAGAACUGAGGGGGGCUGCUCCUAGUACGAGAGGACCGGAGUGGACGCAUCACUGGUGUUCGGGUUGUCAUGCCAAUGGCACUGCCCGGUAGCUAAAUGCGGAAGAGAUAAGUGCUGAAAGCAUCUAAGCACGAAACUUGCC